rnacentral:rRNA from 1 species
ACGAACGCUGGCGGCGUGCCUAAUACAUGCAAGUCGAACGCUUCUUUUUCCAUCGGAGCUUGCUCCACCGGAAAAAGAGGAGUGGCGAACGGGUGAGUAACACGUGGGUAACCUGCCCAUCAGAAGGGGAUAACACUUGGAAACAGGUGCUAAUACCGUAUAACAAUCGAAACCGCAUGGUUUUGAUUUGAAAGGCGCUUUCGGGUGUCGCUGAUGGAUGGACCCGCGGUGCAUUAGCUAGUUGGUGAGGUAACGGCUCACCAAGGCGACGAUGCAUAGCCGACCUGAGAGGGUGAUCGGCCACAUUGGGACUGAGACACGGCCCAAACUCCUACGGGAGGCAGCAGUAGGGAAUCUUCGGCAAUGGACGAAAGUCUGACCGAGCAACGCCGCGUGAGUGAAGAAGGUUUUCGGAUCGUAAAACUCUGUUGUUAGAGAAGAACAAGGAUGAGAGUAACUGUUCAUCCCUUGACGGUAUCUAACCAGAAAGCCACGGCUAACUACGUGCCAGCAGCCGCGGUAAUACGUAGGUGGCAAGCGUUGUCCGGAUUUAUUGGGCGUAAAGCGAGCGCAGGCGGUUUCUUAAGUCUGAUGUGAAAGCCCCCGGCUCAACCGGGGAGGGUCAUUGGAAACUGGGAGACUUGAGUGCAGAAGAGGAGAGUGGAAUUCCAUGUGUAGCGGUGAAAUGCGUAGAUAUAUGGAGGAACACCAGUGGCGAAGGCGGCUCUCUGGUCUGUAACUGACGCUGAGGCUCGAAAGCGUGGGGAGCAAACAGGAUUAGAUACCCUGGUAGUCCACGCCGUAAACGAUGAGUGCUAAGUGUUGGAGUGUUUCCGCCCUUCAGUGCUGCAGCUAACGCAUUAAGCACUCCGCCUGGGGAGUACGACCGCAAGGUUGAAACUCAAAGGAAUUGACGGGGGCCCGCACAAGCGGUGGAGCAUGUGGUUUAAUUCGAAGCAACGCGAAGAACCUUACCAGGUCUUGACAUCCUUUGACCACUCUAGAGAUAGAGCUUCCCCUUCGGGGGCAAAGUGACAGGUGGUGCAUGGUUGUCGUCAGCUCGUGUCGUGAGAUGUUGGGUUAAGUCCCGCAACGAGCGCAACCCUUAUUGUUAGUUGCCAUCAUUUAGUUGGGCACUCUAGCAAGACUGCCGGUGACAAACCGGAGGAAGGUGGGGAUGACGUCAAAUCAUCAUGCCCCUUAUGACCUGGGCUACACACGUGCUACAAUGGGAAGUACAACGAGUCGCAAAGUCGCGAGGCUAAGCUAAUCUCUUAAAGCUUCUCUCAGUUCGGAUUGUAGGCUGCAACUCGCCUACAUGAAGCCGGAAUCGCUAGUAAUCGCGGAUCAGCACGCCGCGGUGAAUACGUUCCCGGGCCUUGUACACACCGCCCGUCACACCAUGAGAGCCGGGGGGACCCGAAGUCGGUAGUCUAACCGCAAGGAGGACGCCGCCGAAGGUAAAACUGGUGAUUGGGGUG